rnacentral:rRNA from 1 species
GACGAACGCUGGCGGCGUGCUUAACACAUGCAAGUCGAACGGUAAGGCCCUUCGGGGUACACGAGUGGCGAACGGGUGAGUAACACGUGGGUGAUCUGCCCUGCACUUCGGGAUAAGGCUGGGAAACUGGGUCUAAUACCGGAUAGGACUCCGGACUGCAUGGUCUGGGGUGGAAAGCUUUUGCGGUGUGGGAUGGGCCCGCGGCCUAUCAGCUUGUUGGUGGGGUGAUGGCCUACCAAGGCGACGACGGGUAGCCGGCCUGGGAGGGUGACCGGCCACACUGGGACUGAGAUACGGCCCAGACUCCUACGGGAGGCAGCAGUGGGGAAUAUUGCACAAUGGGCGCAAGCCUGAUGCAGCGACGCCGCGUGAGGGAUGACGGCCUUCGGGUUGUAAACCUCUUUCAGCACCGACGAAGCGCAAGUGACGGUAGGUGCAGAAGAAGGACCGGCCAACUACGUGCCAGCCGCCGCGGUAA